CACAAAUAUAAGAUAUAUGUAAGUGUAUGUGUGUGUACAUACAUAUAUGUGAUAAUUAACUCUUAUUUGUACUGCAUGGGGUAGAUAUCACAAAACUUGUACCCCUUGAGUGAAGCUUUUGAGUUGAAUGGUAUCCCACAUCAACCAUCACCUGUGGACAAGCCAAGUCUGAAAUCCCCAGCAGCCAUGAUAAUGGAGCUGCUACAGAAGCAAUGCCAGUGUGGCAGAAGAACAGAGUGGCUGCUAUCGUAGAUGGAGAAACAAUAAUCCCUGCCGACCAAGAUGACAACUUUUCUUUGGAUCUGGCAUCAAGUAGAAGGUUCUUUUGAAAGAAAAAGAAAUAUCCUUUUUUUUUUUUAAGGGAAAAUUCAGGGGGGAAAGUCCCCCCACCACAUUAUUCUGGCUCUUUUUUAUUGCCACAGACUGUUUGGAUGAACUCAAAAAUACAUUUUUGGGUAGGAAAAAAGGUUCUGACAACAUUGUAGGUUUUUUUUAGCCUUCUAAUGGUGCUUUCACAAAUAUUACACCAUCCCAGCUUCUUCAUGAAAGUUUCUAGUUGAGAGCUGUGCUCUGAAAACACACAAAAUGUUCUUUUUUUCUGUGUUUAUAACAAGUGGAUAAGGCUAGAGCUGGCAAAAUGGCAAAGGAAUUUUAAUGCUGUAGAAAGAGUGGUGGGCCAUUAGCUUAAUGCCUCCACACAUCUCUCACUAGCUGGCUUUCAUCCUAUAGCCCUUCUUGCAUGCAUUCAGUAUGUCUCAACCAGUCUUCAAGUUUGCCAAUAAAACAUCAGUGGUGUUACUGUGUCUUUCUUUCAUGUCUAGAAGUCUUAAUAUACAUAUAUAUAUUCCUAGUUCCAAAAUAAUUCCACCUUCAGGAAAGUGAAAUAAUUAUUCUUGAGUUGCAGUUGUUACAAGGACUAUAGAAAAAAUAAUGACUGUCUGAGUUUUGAUGUUUUCACCUUAGAAACGUGGCGUGCAUCUUCCACUGUAACUGCAAGAGUAGAAAGAGAUGACAGGUUCAGUGAGACUUUUUCACCUACUCUGGAUUUUUAUCAUAAAGAUUAAUUUCUUGUUGUUCUCCAUCAAUAACUUCCUCUCCAGUGCUUCCCCUGUGUCUGAGUUGGAGAAUGAGACCACUUCAACAGGACACUCUUCCAUCAUUUCCCAAAGACAUUAUUUUUGCAGUCGGAUGAGUGUUGGCUUCCCAGUGAUGCCUCUACGGACAACAGCAUUCUGUCAGACUGACCUCUCAUACAGCGUUUGAUAGUGUGAUAUAAGUGUGCUGAGGAAGACAAGAAGAUGAUCUCCAGUUGAAGGCACACAAACUCCUAGCCGAUUUUAACAGGAUUGAACCCAGACAUCGUUUUUGCUGCACAACUGCACAACUUCAAAUUGGUUUUACAAUUCAAGGCUCUCUCUUCCAUAGUUAGUAAUUAUUACUUGUCAAGGUUCAUUAAUAUCUCUGCCCCAUACAUUACGCAAGAAACAUCAUUAUAGCAAGACCUUACCCCAUGUCAUUAGCAGGAACUUUUGUAUUUAAUGUUGAGAAUGACUCAAGUGAAGUGCUGCUUUCUCUGACCUGUCAUAAAUAAAGAACCAUUAUAAUUAAAAGCCCAGGCUUGAUUUAUACAGGCUGUUUGCUCAGGCUGCCAGGAUUGAACCUCUUAAUGUCUAUUGUUACCAAGGGAUUUUGGUGAGAGUUGAUCUAGUUUAAUCAAAUACUUACCACUUCUAAUAAGUUUUAGAAAUGUAGCAAGAAACAAAAACAAUCCUGUCUGAAUGAUUUUCUUCUACUCUUCAUGUUUGAUCCAGUCUUGGAUUAAUAAUUGCUAUGACUCUGAUAUGCUUUGAUUUAUUUAAAUCAAAGCAUGCCUCUUUGGCUUCAGUUGCUUGCAGUUUAACUUUAAAUAGAUACUGAUACAAGACACAGUGAUACACAAAACAUCUGGUUUUUAUAAAUUACAUCCGGAGAUGCAUGAGACUACUGAGUGAACAAACUCACAAGAUAUCUGCAGGUUACUUUGCAUUGUGGUACACAGAUUUAUUUUGCUUACAAUGCCAACAGGAAAACAAAAGAAUUUAUCAAGUUUUGUGCAUAUGCAUCUAAACAUCCU
rnacentral:lncRNA from 1 species